UGAUGAGAAUUCUCCGGAAUCGCUGUACUUCAUUGAUGAUCCUUUGAACCCAUAAAACUGAUGAUUGUAGCUGCCCCCCUCACC